AGUGAACGCUGGCGGUAGGCCUAACACAUGCAAGUCGAACGGCAGCACAGUAAGAGCUUGCUCUUACGGGUGGCGAGUGGCGGACGGGUGAGGAAUACAUCGGAAUCUACUUUUUCGUGGGGGAUAACGUAGGGAAACUUACGCUAAUACCGCAUACGACCUACGGGUGAAAGCAGGGGAUCUUCGGACCUUGCGCGAUUGAAUGAGCCGAUGUCGGAUUAGCUAGUUGGCGGGGUAAAGGCCCACCAAGGCAACGAUCCGUAGCUGGUCUGAGAGGAUGAUCAGCCACACUGGAACUGAGACACGGUCCAGACUCCUACGGGAGGCAGCAGUGGGGAAUAUUGGACAAUGGGCGCAAGCCUGAGCCAGCCAUACCGCGUGGGUGAAGAAGGCCUUCGGGUUGUAAAGCCCUUUUGUUGGGAAAGAAAAGCAGCAGGUUAAAACCCCGCUGUUCUGACGGUACCCAAAGAAUAAGCACCGGCAAACUUCGG
rnacentral:rRNA from 1 species